GGCUCCUGCGAGGAGGAGAGGAGGGAGGCGGUGCGCGCUCGCGCGUGCGUGAGCUGGCGCGCGAGGAAGGGGCCCGGUCGCGCCGAGGCUCGAGCGGCCGUCGCCAUUUUGUGGGGUUCUCUCUGACGCGGGAGCCGCCGCCACCCGGAGGCUCUUGUCAGGAUGGUGAAGCUGUUCAUCGGAAACCUGCCCCGGGAGGCCACAGAGCAGGAGAUACGCUCACUCUUUGAGCAGUACGGGAAGGUGCUGGAAUGUGACAUCAUUAAGAACUACGGCUUUGUGCACAUAGAGGACAAGACGGCGGCCGAGGAUGCCAUACGCAACCUGCACCACUACAAGCUUCACGGGGUGAACAUCAACGUGGAAGCCAGCAAGAAUAAGAGCAAAGCUUCCACCAAGUUACACGUGGGCAACAUCAGCCCCACCUGCACCAACCAGGAGCUUCGGGCCAAGUUUGAGGAGUAUGGUCCAGUCAUCGAAUGUGACAUCGUGAAAGAUUAUGCCUUCGUACACAUGGAGCGGGCAGAGGAUGCGGUGGAGGCCAUAAGGGGCCUUGAUAACACAGAGUUUCAAGGUGAACUGCUCUGGGGCCUGGGGGGUAGAGCUGAGUGGGGUCUAGCUCCAGACAGAGGCAAGAACACGCGACCGUGGGACUGACCCAGUGGUCUCUUCCAUUGUGUUUUAGCUAGAAAUAAUAGAUUAUGUUUGCCACUCUUAAGUAUCAUUUGCUCUUGGGGAAGCAAACACUUCCCCUUUGCGGGUUUGCUGGCAUGUUGCUUAUUAACUGCAUAGAUUCACAGAGUGUGGUUUACUUUAUCCUGCUGGCUUCAUUCAUUCAAGUGCUGUUGGAAGUGUGGCCUGGGCAAAUGGGUGCCUCAUGGGAGAAGGGAGGAUGAAGGUCUGGCUUACCUGCUUCUUUUGGUAUAACCAGGAAGUCUUAUAUUUGAAGGUUUAAAUUCUUAGGGUUUGUA